rnacentral:rRNA from 1 species
CCUACGGGGGGCAGCAGUGGGGAAUAUUGCACAAUGGGGGAAACCCUGAUGCAGCGACGCCGCGUGAGUGAAGAAGUUUUUCGGUAUGUAAAGCUCUAUCAGCAGGGAAGCAAAUUACGGUACCUGACUAUGAAGCCCCGGCUAACUACGUGCCAGAAGCCGCGGUAAUACGUCGGGGGCAGCCGUUAUCCGGAUUUACUGGGUGUAAAGGGGGCGUAGGCGGCAAGGUAAGCCAGAAGUGAAAGCCCGCGGCUCAAACGCGGGACUGCCUUUGGAACUAUCUAGCUAGAUUGGACGAGAGGUAAGCGGAAUUCCUAGUGUAGCGGUGAAAUGCGUAGAUAUUGGGAGGAACACCAGUGGCGAAGGCGGCAUACUGGACUGUAAAUGACGCUGAGGCUCGAAAGCGUGGGGAGCAAACAGGAUUAGAUACCCUAGUAGUC